ensembl:lncRNA
CAGCAUCUCCUGACAGUCCCCGUCCUGCUCCCAGGGAACCCCACCCACAGUCUAAGGGUAGAGGCAAUAUGCCCCCUCACCCGGCAUUCCUUAGUGCCCUGGAAAUGAUUUGGCAUCACAGAUCACGUGCUCCAUGGUAAAGUCAUUGUGCAGACACCGUUUGCUAGGGUGGAUAGUGAUAGGACAAGGGGGAAUGGCUUUAAACUGAGACAGGGGAGGUUUAGGUUAGAUAUUAGGAGGAAGUUUUUCCCCCACAGGGUGGUGACACACUGGAACAGGUUGCCCAAGGAGGCUGUGGAUGCCCCAUCCCUGCAGGCGUUCAAGGCCAGGCUGGAUGUGGCUCUGGGCAGCCUGGUCUGCUGGUUGGCGACCCUGCACAUAGCAGGGGGUUGGAACGGGAUGAGCAUUGUUGUCCUUUUCAACCCAGGCCAUUCUAUGAUUCUAUGAUGGAUUUCUACUCUCUGUCCAUGUGGACUUCAGGAGGCACCUCACUGCUCACAUGUUCCAGAUCACACUGGCACUUUUAAUCAGUGUUAUGGAUUGAACCAGUGGGCAAAUUCAGUUUUCAAGAGCCCCAGCAGUCUCAGCAGCAGAGCAUCUGACUCACACAGCAAUAACAUUGGAGCUACAUAAGGCUGACAUGGCUUUGCCUGGCCAAGCUCUGAGUACUCCCAAGGACUCAGCCCCCACCCCUCUCCCUGCCUUUGGCUCCUGUGGAACCUGAGCAGGCCCCAGGAAGCCCCAACUCUGUCUGCUCCAUGGGCAGCUGAAGCUGGAAAUCUCCCCCAGCCCUGUUCCAUUUUCAUGCAGCCACUUCUCAGCCUCUCCUCACAUAUUCCCAUCCUCCAGCUCCAUUUUUCUAAGCUUUUUUCUUUUUCUUUUUGCAAGGAGGGGGCACAACUCUAUUUUCCCAACUUCUUUUUGAGAGAUAUCUAAUUACAGGUCCUUUUUUUUUUUUUUUUUCCCCACACAUUCUACAAAAAAGGCAAAGAUUAAGAUGGUCUACUAUCAAAACAUCUAUGACAGCUGCACAAAUAGCUUUAUAGGAAUCUCUCAGAUGAGUGGAUUGGUCCAGCUUAGAUCAAGAAGAUACUGAUCAGCUGGUAUUGUUCAGCAGCAGAGAAGUCGUUUGUCUUC